GGGAAGCUGGAGCCACGGUCGCCGCGAGGGCGAGCAGCCGCGCGCUCCCGGUGCUGGGAGGAAUGCCCGCAGAACCAAGGCGAUCAGACGCGAGGAGGCCUGAGCACAUGGUUGGGACCAAGGGGAGUUUUACAGUUUGAGUUGGAUGUACCAUUCUACCUCUGAUUUGGACCCUGGCAGCCCCUCUGUCUCCUGAAAAAAAGCCCUCACGCCUUUUCUUCCUGCACUCCAGACUUGGUCAGGUGAGAACAGAAGUGAAGGGUCAGGGUGGGCUUCUUUCUCUUUUCCACCUCCUGGAGCACGCUGCAACUUUUUCCUUUAUUCAUGAAAAACACACAAUUUGCUAUGAAUCGUCUCACAGCAAUUGAAGUCUGUUCAAUUUGACAGACAGGCACUGUGCUGGGAAUGGGGCAAAAAGAAUGAAUUCAAUACAGACCCGACUGCGUGGCUGAAUCGCACAGAUGCUGCGCCGUGCAAAUGAAAACAGACACGCAAGACCGUGCCCUAACUCAGUCCGUCCCAAUGGAGCCCCACAGCCACCAACACCCAGCUCUGGCGUCAGGAGGGAUCAGUGGUUGCCUCAGAUGGGGUGUGAGGGCAUUGACCUGGAAGGGGCGCAGAGGAGCUUUCUGGGGUGAUGGGGCUGUUCUAUAUUUUGAUGGCAGCUGUGGCCACAUGAGUAUAAUCCAUGGGUGAACAUUUCUUGAAACACAUCAAAAUACACACUUAAAUGGUUGCACCUCAGUGCAUGCAAAUUAAGCCUUGAUAAAUUAUUGCGUGGACUAAAUUUUUAACAAUAGGGGGAAAAGCUUGUCCCCGAGGAACUGAAAUCUCGUGAAGUCAUGGAAAGGGCAUUUUAGUUGGAGGAGCAGCCUGCACCUAUUCCACCAUCAGGCAUUCAUUACAUACCUGCUAUGUCCCAGGUCCUGAGGACAGAGACAGCAAUGGAGAAGGAACACCUCCCCUUCCAGAACAGCUUCCCACCCAGUGGAAGAGAAUGACCCGCGAUGUGUGAAUUGUACACCAGAGGGACAGCAUGAGCAAGAGGACAGAGGACUGUACAUGCCCAGGCUUCAAGAGGAGAGGGUGCCCUGGUGGGCUACAGCACAGGGUUUACCAGGGCAGGGUGUGGAGGGUGGUGGGACCAGGUCUUGCAAAAGUGUGUGUGCUGGAUGAAGGAUCUGGGUGUUCACCCUGAAGCCAAGAGAGGAGAGCAACUUCAGCAUGAAUUUGGGGAGGGAGGAGAGUGACACGCGCAGAGCCUUGGUUUAGAAAAACUGUCCCGACGUUUCUACCCUGGGCUGUCUGGCUGGUUGUAACCACACCCUCUGUCAACAGAGGGCAGGGGCAUUAAACAGGAGAUGGGGACACCAGCCAGGAGGCUGUUGCGUGGUGAAAAAUUGGUCCCCCAGGGCUGGGUCCAGAGUGUGACAUGCCUUGUUUGAUGGCCAAUGAAUAAACAGACAGAAUGUCAUGUAGCCAUACAAUAGAAUAUUAUUUACUACCACCAACAAAAAGAUACAAAGUUCUGAUAUAGGCCAAACCAAAGAUAACCCCCAAAACAGUACACUAAGUGAAAGAAGCCAGUCACAAAAGACCAUGUAUGGUAUUAUUUCAUUUAUAUAAAAUGUCCAGAAUAGGCAAAUCUAUUUUAUAGAGUAGUAAUUGUCUAGGCUGGGGGGGAUGGGAGUAGAAUGAGGGAUGACCACUAAGGGGAGCACUGUUUCUUACUGGGAUGAGGUAAAUGUUCUCAAAAUUAGAUUCUGGUGACGUUUGCACAACUCUGUACUGUAUGCAUUUAAUAAAUGAACAAUAC